rnacentral:rRNA from 1 species
UACGUAGGGGGCAAGCGUUGUCCGGAUUUAUUGGGCGUAAAGAGCGUGUAGGCGGCCAGAUAGGUCGGUUGUGAAAACUGGAGGCUUAACCUUCAGACGUCGACCGAAACCAUCUGGCUAGAGUCCGGAAGAGGAGAAUGGAAUUCCUGGUGUAGCGGUGAAAUGCGCAGAUAUCAGGAAGAACACCUGUGGCGAAGGCGGCUCUCUGGGACGGUACUGACGCUGAGACGCGAAAGCGUGGGGAGCAAACAGG